AAAAGAAACCAACAGGGAUUACCUCAGUAACGGCGAGUGAAGCGGUAAAAGCUCAAAUUUGAAAUCUGGCUCUUUCAGAGUCCGAGUUGUAAUUUGUAGAAGAUGCUUCGGGUGUGGUUCCGGUCUAAGUUCCUUGGAACAGGACGUCAUAGAGGGUGAGAAUCCCGUAUGUGACUGGAUACCUAUGCUCAUGUGAAGCUCUUUCGACGAGUCGAGUUGUUUGGGAAUGCAGCUCAAAAUGGGUGGUAUAUUUCAUCUAAAGCUAAAUAUUGGCCAGAGACCGAUAGCGCACAAGUAGAGUGAUCGAAAGAUGAAAAGCACUUUGGAAAGAGAGUUAAACAGUACGUGAAAUUGUUGAAAGGGAAGCGCUUGCAAUCAGACUUGCACUUGGUGUUCAUCAGGGUUUCGUGCCCUGUGUACUUCAUCAAGUUCAGGCCAGCAUCAGUUUGAGUGGUUAGAUAAAGGCUUGGAGAAUGUGGCCCUCUUCGGGGGGUGUUAUAGCUCCAGGUGCAAUGUAGCCUACUUGGACUGAGGACCGCGCUUCGGCUAGGAUGCUGGCGUAAUGGUUGUAAGCGACCCGUCUUGAAACACGGACCAAGGAGUGUACCUAAUAUGCGAGUGUUUGGGUGUUAAACCCAUACGCGUAAUGAAAGUGAACGCUGGUGAGAACCCUUAAGGGUGCAUCAUCGACCGAUCUUGAUGUCUUCGGAUGGAUUUGAGUAAGAGCAUAUUGGGUGCGACCCGAAAGAUGAUGAUCUAUACGUGAAUAGGGUGAAGCCAGAGGAAACUCUGGUGGAGGCUCGCAGCGGUUCUGACGUGCAAAUCGAUCGUCAAAUUUGCGUAUAGGGGCGAAAGACUAAUCGAAUCAUCUAUC
rnacentral:rRNA from 1 species